rnacentral:rRNA from 1 species
AUGUCCUUGGAAUCGGAAGCCGAUGUCAUAAAAAGUUCAGGCCAGAACAAGUCAAACCCAAUUAACCCCAACAAUAUACCUGAUGUUGAUGUUGUGGAAAUAAAAGAUGCAAAUGAAAGAUAUAUUGAUGCUUAUGUCCGUCUAUCUGACAAUGCACCUCUUUGGCGGCUUACGUGUGUCUAUGGGGAACCACGGUUUGAAAAGAGGCACCACAUGUGGUCACUCAUGCAAAACCUUAAAACACAGUCAGAACUCCCUUGGUGUGUUAUUGGUGAUUUUAAUGAGGCCCUUUGGUCGUUUGAGCACUUCUCGGCCUCUCAGAGGAGUGAAAGUCAGAUGCUAGCCUUCCGUGAUACUCUGGAAUUAUGUGAACUCAUUGAUCUUGGGUUCUCAGGUCUACCUUUCACUUAUGAUAAUAAACGCAGAGGAAGGAGGAAUGUAAAAGUAUGGUUGGACAGGGCAGUUGCAGAUAACAAAUGGAGAGACAUUUUCUCUGAAUCUAGGGUGGUCCACCAACUCCCCGUCGCCGGCCAUCUCGGGCCACCUCCUCCCCCGCCGCCGGCCAUACCUUCCGCGGCAGCCGCCGGCCGUCUGCGCCCCGUCUGCGCCUCACCCGCGCCCGGCAGAAGCCGCAGCAGCUGCUCACUGCAACUGUUGCUUCCCUGCAGCGACGCGGCCCAGCUCGCGCCCGUGCCCGCAGCCGCCCAUAGGUGCCGCCCCGAGCUGCCUCCGCCCACGGCCGCUGCUGCUGGCUCCGUGCAGCGCCCGGCCGCCGCCGGGACUCCGCCCGGCCUGCGCCCGGCUGCCUCCUGGCCAGUGCCCAGCCGCGCCCGGCGGGUGGUGCCUUGGGGCUGCCUCUGUCGCGCCCUGCCGGCCGGUGAGGUCCCGAUCUCGAUCCCGCUCUGGGCGUUGACCUCGUUCCAAAGAAAAAAGAAAAAAAGGAAAGAAGUAGAAGAAGAAGGCGCGUGCGCUCCUCAUGGCUUCUUCGGGCUAUGUUGCUGUUCCUCGGUGCUCGGUGAUCUUCGAUGGAACAAUGCCGAGUUCGUGGGUUUUAUGCGCAUCCAUAUGCGUGGCCUCCUUCUGUGGGGCGUUCUCUCUGGCGAGGUCCCCUGUCCGCCGUGCCCGGUGCCUCCCGUGACUCCUGUGCCACCAGUGCCACCUAUUCUUGCUGCUGAUGCAUCUCAGGCUGAUCGGGAUGCCGCUAAGGCCCUUGAUGACGCUGCAGUUGAUGCUUAUGAUCAGCAGGUAUCAGCUUAUUCCGCUGCAUUUUCCGUUUACCGUGAGGAUCUGACUGCUUACACUCAGUGGUACAAUGAUGAUGCUCGGGCUGCUGCUGUUCUCACCGGCAGUGUUCUCCCUCAGUUUGCGUCCGAGUUCAUGGGCCUCGGCACAGUUGCAGCAAUGUGGUCGUUUCUCUAUCAACGCUAUCAGCCAUCUGGUGAUGCCCUGUAUUUGUCAGUGGUGCGUCAGGAGCAUGCUCUUCAGCAAGGUGACUCGUCUAUUGACGAGUUCUACACUCAGUGUUCUGCUAUUUGGCGUCAGCUAGAUUCUCUUCGCACAGUUGUUUGUGGAACUUGCCAUUGCUGUCAGACUACCAGGGCCGAUUUGGAUUUUCAGCGUGUCCAUGAGUUUUUAUCUCGCCUCCGCACCGAGUUUGAGCCUAGGCGUGCCCACUUACUUGCUCGUGGUCGUGUUCCUAUCACCGAGGUGCUUGCUGAGCUUCGUUCUGAGGAGACCCGUCUUCGCUCUGCUGGGUUAAUUGUGGUUCCUUCUGUCCUGGCUGCCAGGGCUCCUGUAUCGGUUGCUUGUCCCACCGCUCCGCCACUCCUGCCCACACCUUCAGGGGGGGUCAGUCGCCCUCCUUAUACUGAGAGGGGCCGGUCACGGCGUGACAUGCUUGCACGACAAGCGUGGCGACUUUUGGAGCGACCUGAUUUUCUGUGUGCCAUGGUGCUCAGAGCAAGGUAUUACCUCAAUGGUUCGCUGGUUGAUACGGUUUUUGCAAGCAACGCUUCUUCUUCAUGGCAUGCCAUACAAUAUGGUCUGGAGCUACUCCGAAAGGGAAUUAUCUGGCGUGUUGGGAACAGCGAGCUCAUUCGGGUCUGGCAAGACCAUUGGAUUCCCAGGCCCACCUCUUAUAGGCUAAUCACUCCAAGACGCAAUAGUCGAAUACGACGUGUUGCUGAACUUCUGGAUAACAAUGGCAGGUGGAACCAGGAGCUAGUCCGACAAAACUUCAUGAUGAUGGACGCCCAGGAGAUUUUGAAGAUCAAGGCAUCGCCACGACGUCUUGAUGAUGUACUGGCUUGGGCGCCCGAUCCACGCGGUAUCUUCACCGUGCGAUCUGCGUAUCGCUUGGCUUUGGAGGAGCAAACCUGCACAACCAUGUGUGCCACGAACAGGACACCGGACGGCAACCGCGCCGUCUGGAAGAUAGUGUGGGGGUGCCCUGCUCCCCCAAAGCUAUGGCGAGCGAUGAAUGAGCAAGUCUAUAUGCCAAACAUUGAAGAAGUGGUCAAUACGGGGCCAGAGUGGCUGCUUCACUUGCUGUCCAACAGUGAUAAACAGCAGCAUCUACCACUGCUGGUGACAAUGUGGAGAAUAUGGCAUGUUAGGAACGAGAUCACGCACCAUAAGAAGCCCCCGCCAGUCCAUGUAUCGACGCGUUUUUUAUGCAGCUACAUUGAGUCCCUGAUGUGCCUACAGCAACACCCUCAUGGGGAUCUCGAGAAGGGGAAGAUGGUGGCCACAUAUGAUAACACGAGACUGAGAAAGAAGGAGCAGAAACAGCAGGAGGACCACAUCAGUGGAAGACCACCAGAUAGGUGGAUCAAGCCCCCAACUGGGUGGAACAAGCUAAAUGUGGAUGGGGCCUUUGCCAUGGAGACAAGCACUGGAGGUGCCGGUAUGAUCCUCCGUGAUGAGGAUGGAGCAAUCGUCUUCGCAUCGAGUCGCCACCUGUAUACUUGCGCUAGCCCGGUUGAAGCGGAACUGGCGGCUUGCAUGGAGGGAAUUGCCUUGGCUUAUGAAUGGAGUUCCAAGCCGUUCAUCGUCGAGACAAAUUCCCAAGUGUCAAUCAACAUGAUCAAGCAAAUGGAGAGUGACCGCUCACCAUCGGCGGCCAUUGUCGGCGAAAUAAAGAGUUUACUCGCCCAGGGUGGAGAGUACUCAGUAGUACAUGUGCAUCGUGGAUGUAAUACUGUAGCUCAUCGCUUUGCUCAGAUUGGACAUCACCACAUGCGCACGGCUGUUUGGCUUAGAUCUGGACCGAGUGAGAUUGAUUUGCUUCACCGUCAUGAUUGUAAUCCUCAAGGUUAA